UACGGAGGAUGCAAGCGUUAUCCGGAUUUAUUGGGCGUAAAGCGUCCGCAGGGGGCUAUACAAGUCUGCUGUUAAAGCGUGGGGCUUAACUCCAUACAGGCAGUGGAAACUGUAAAGCUAGAGUCUGGUAGGGGUCACGGGAAUUCCCAGUGUAGCGGUGAAAUGCGUAGAUAUUGGGAAGAACACCAGCGGCGAAAGCGCGUGGCUGGGCCGGAACUGACACUCAUGGACGAAAGCUAGGGGAGCGAAAGGG
rnacentral:rRNA from 1 species